GAUCCUUGGACGUUAGUGAGUCACAAAAUAAUUUUUAAUAAAUUUUGAGAUCUUUUAACCUAUUCGUUCUAAAGAAGGAAAGUUUUAAAAAUUUCAGAUUUGAAAAAAAAUUGAACUAAAACUCAAGUUUUGACUUCUUAUUCUUAAAGAUUUUAAUUUUUCUAAUAUUUUUAUUGAUUUCAAAUAAGAGAUAUUUUUUUAUUUACAUUUAUAUUUUAAAGUUAAUGGGCACCUACAUGAGGAUGUAAGCGCCUACAUCCUAUAUCAGGGAUGUAGGCACCUACAUCCCGGACGCCUACAUGAGGAUGUAGGCACCUACAUCCUGGAUGUAGGCGCCAGGGAUGUAGGCGCCCACAAAGAUAGAUGUAGGCGCCUACAUCCACUAUAUUGGGUCCAAUUUUAGGUGCCUUCCUUCCAUCAUUUUUGCAUUCAUUGAAUCCAACCCAAGUCACCAAACUAGUUCGAAAUAUCGACUCUUAUUCUUCCCCUCAAGAUCCCUAUCUCACCGUCUCCACAACUAUCGUACUAUCUCCACUCACAUCUUAAAUCGUAAACCAAAAAUCUCCUUUUCAAACCAAAAACUUCCUUCCCAUCUCCUUCUCGGCCAAUCUUCAACCUGAUGGCUCUGAAGAUGCGUCUUCCCCAACGCCAAAGAGCAACCAGAAAUGAAGAAGCAGGAAAAGAGGAGCAAGUGAAGCAUCAGCUUCAUCACCUCCUUCAAGAUCACCUCCUCCAAGAACUCCAGUGACAAAAAUAUUCUCUAAGGCCGUAUUGUUGAUAUGAAUUUUUUAGACUUAGAGGGAUUUGAGAUUGCAAACUUAAUUAGAGUUAUGGGAUGAAAAUUCAUGUCCACAGUUUAAGCCCCAAUAUUUAUGAAGUUAGUUAGAGAGUUUUAUAAGAAUAUUUUAUUUGAAGAAGAAACCGUAUCAUCUUUGGUGAAAGAAAAGAAAAUUUAUUUUGAUGAUAAAAUACUAAGAUAAAUUUUGAAACAAGAAAAUUUAUUUUGAUGAUGAAAUAUUAAGAUAAAUUUUGAAACUUUCAACUGUAAGUGACCUACGGGACAGUAGAAGAGAUAGAAGUGCAAGAAUAGUUUCUAUUCUUAGGGUAAAUGAUCACAGUCAAUUCUGUAAAAUUUAUGAAUGACACUUAAAUAUUAAAAUGUGACUCCUCCAUAUCAACCUAAAAUAGGAUUUGAUACUGUAACAGAGAGGGACUUAGCAAUUAUAUAUCAUGUAGUCCAAUGCAUCCCACUCAACUUUCUAAAAAUGAUCAUCAAGACUAUGCAAAAAGCAGUGGAUAGAGCACAGAUAUCCCUACCUUAUGCCAUGAUUUUAACCCAUAUCUUUAAAUAUUAUAGAGUAAAGAGUAAGGAUUCAGAGUGAACAAUCAACAAAAUUAGGCAGAGGUAGCAAAAUCAAUGAAGAAGCCCUCCACAAAAUGCAUUGAUUUAAAAUUGAUGGUGAGUAGAUUAGAAAGGAUGGAAGCAAAGAACAUGUAGAGGAGGAUAUUUCAGCUGAUAAAGAAAGACCUCAAUAUAGGAGUGAAGCAAGACCUUUCAGGUCUACGGAGCGUGUAGAACCUAUUAAGCAAGUGAAGAU
rnacentral:lncRNA from 1 species